UACACUCCUGCGGGAGGCAGCAGUGGGGAAUAUUGCACAAUGGGCGCAAGCCUGAUGCAGCCAUGCCGCGUGUAUGAAGAAGGCCUUCGGGUUGUAAAGUACUUUCAGCGGGGAGGAAGGCAAUACGGUUAAUAACCGUGUUGAUUGACGUUACCCGCAGAAGAAGCACCGGCUAACUCCGUGCCAGCAGCCGCGGUAAUACGGAGGGUGCAAGCGUUAAUCGGAAUUACUGGGCGUAAAGCGCACGCAGGCGGUCUGUCAAGUCGGAUGUGAAAUCCCCGGGCUCAACCUGGGAACUGCAUUCGAAACUGGCAGGCUGGAGUCUUGUAGAGGGGGGUAGAAUUCCAGGUGUAGCGGUGAAAUGCGUAGAGAUCUGGAGGAAUACCGGUGGCGAAGGCGGCCCCCUGGACAAAGACUGACGCUCAGGUGCGAAAGCGUGGGGAGCAAACAGGAUUAGAAACCCUGGUAGUCCCA
rnacentral:rRNA from 1 species